GAUGAACGCUGGCGGCGUGCCUAAUACAUGCAAGUCGAGCGAACGGAGGAGAAACUUGCUUUUCUGAUGUUAGCGGCGGACGGGUGAGUAAAACGUGGAUAACAUACCUAUAAGACUGGGAUAAAUUAGGGAAACCGGAGCUAAUACCGGAUAAUAUUUUGAACAGCAUGGUUCAAAAGUGAAAGACGGUCUUGCUGUCACUUAUAGAUGGAUCCGCGCUGCAUUAGCUAGUUGGUAAGGUAACGGCUUACCAAGGCAACGAUGCAUAGCCGACCUGAGAGGGUGACCGGCCACACUGGAACUGAGACACGGUCCAGACUCCUACGGGAGGCAGCAGUAGGGAAUCUUCCGCAAUGGGCGAAAGCCUGACGGAGCAACGCCGCGUGAGUGAUGAAGGUCUUCGGAUCGUAAAACUCUUUUAUUAGGGAAGAACAUAUGUGUAAGUAACUGUUCACAUCUUGACGUUACCUAAUCAGAAAGCCACGGCUAACUACGUG
rnacentral:rRNA from 1 species